rnacentral:ncRNA from 2 species
CAGCGAUACUCUGGAAAGUGCCCCGUGCCGUAAGGUCGUGGCCGCCGACGGUGUAACCCGGUCCGUCCCAUAGCGGAUGACGCCGGGGAAGCUCUCAGGUUUCCGUGACAGAGGGGGCACC